UUGGGGUAAUCUUGAAAAGCUUCCCGAAAAAUGGAGAGUAUUGCAAGCAGAACGCGCUCCAAAGACCAUAAAGUCGAAGAGUUUAAACCUGCUUCCGGUGGUUCGAGGACUCGAAUUGCCAUUACCUCGUUGUUGAUCUUCCUGGUUUCAAGAAAGAAGACAUCAAGAUUCAGACCGAUAGCAUCGAUCACGUAACGGUCAGCGGAGAAAGACUAGUGAAAGACAAAAGGUCAAUUUGCUUCGAAGAAACCUUCAAAGUUCCGGAGAACUCGGCAAUCCAGAUGACGAGUGGAAGAAUUGAAGAAGGAAUUCUCACCGUGACGGUGCCGAAGCGAGCUCCAACUGUGACGGAGGAGGAGGAGGAGGAGGAGGAGGAGGAGGAGACCGAACACCAUGAACAAGACUUGAACAAAGAAAGCCACGACGAAGCCGCCAAGCCACCCGAGAGCGAAGUGACAGGGAGAAAAUCCAGCGGAGAAUGUUGCCCCAGUGACGAGAUCAUCAAGAAAUGGGGAGAAGAAAGAAGCAUCUUCAGGAGCGCAAUGAAGAUGCUUAACGAGAAGAAGGGGAUCGUCAUUACAGCUGUUUUAGCAUUCUCUCUCGGGGUCUGGGUAUCACGUAAAUUCAAUUUGGGUGGCCAUGAGAAUGCACUUGAAUGAUUUGUUCUCCAGACGUUAUAUGUCUCGGAUGCAAUCACAAUAAGAGCAUCCUCAAGAACAUGAAAUAAUGACUUUCAUUAAGUUGC